UCUAAGGAUGAAAGCAGGGGACCGCAAGGCCUUGUGCUCCUGGAGCGGCCGAUAUCUGAUUAGCUAGUUGGUGGGGUAAAGGCCCACCAAGGCAUCGAUCAGUAGCUGGUCUGAGAGGACGACCAGCCACACUGGAACUGAGACACGGUCCAGACUCCUACGGGAGGCAGCAGUGGGGAAUUUUGGACAAUGGGCGCAAGCCUGAUCCAGCAAUGCCGCGUGAGUGAAGAAGGCCUUCGGGUUGUAAAGCUCUUUUGUCAGGGAAGAAACGGCCGUUUCUAAUACAGAUGGCUAAUGACGGUACCUGAAGAAUAAGCACCGGCUAACUACGUGCCAGCAGCCGCGGUAAUACGUAGGGUGCAAGCGUUAAUCGGAAUUACUGGGCGUAAAGCGUGCGCAGGCGGUUUUGUAAGUCUGUCGUGAAAUCCCCGGGCUCAACCUGGGAAUGGCGAUGGAGACUGCAAGGCUAGAGUUUGGCAGAGGGGGGUAGAAUUCCACGUGUAGCAGUGAAAUGCGUAGAUAUGUGGAGGAACACCGAUGGCGAAGGCAGCCCCCUGGGUCAAAACUGACGCUCAUGCACGAAAGCGUGGGGAGCAAACAGGAUUAGAUACCCUGGUAGUCCACGCCCUAAACGAUGUCUACUAGUUGUCGGGUCUUAAUUGACUUGGUAACGCAGCUAACGCGUGAAGUAGACCGCCUGGGGAGUACGGUCGCAAGAUUAAAACUCAAAGGAAUUGACGGGGACCCGCACAAGCGGUGGAUGAUGUGGAUUAAUUCGAUGCAACGCGAAAAACCUUACCUACCCUUGACAUGGAAGGAAUCCCGGAGAGGUUUGGGAGUGCCCGAAAGGGAACCUUUACACAGGUGCUGCAUGGCUGUCGUCAGCUCGUGUCGUGAGAUGUUGGGUUAAGUCCCGCAACGAGCGCAACCCUUGUCAUUAGUUGCUACGAAAGAGCACUCUAAUGAGACUGCCGGUGACAAACCGGAGGAAGGUGGGGAUGACGUCAAGUCCUCAUGGCCCUUAUGGGUAGGGCUUCACACGUCAUACAAUGGUACAUACAGAGGCCGCCAACCCGCGAGGGGGAGCUAAUCCCAGAAAGUGUAUCGUAGUCCGGAUUGUAGUCUGCAACUCGACUGCAUGAAGUUGGAAUCGCUAGUAAUCGCGGAUCAGCAUGUCGCGGUGAAUACGUUCCCGGGUCUUGUACACACCGCCCGUCACACCAUGGGAGCGGGUUUUACCAGAAGUAGGUAGCUUAACCGU
rnacentral:rRNA from 1 species